rnacentral:misc_RNA from 1 species
GAAAAAUCAUCAUGAUGCAGAAGAAACUUUGCUCCAGGAAGGAAGAGUUACCAACGCAUUGGAACUUAAUCCAACCGAAAUUCAAUCCAAGCCAGAAACUUCUUAUCAAAGAUACAGCAGCCAAUCUAGCUCCUCAUCGUUGGCAGAAGUGAGUGAAAGGGUCUUUAUUGAUAAAGAAGGAGAAAUGAGAUCAAGUUUCGAGGAGAUAAUGGGGCAUAUUGAAGAAAAUGGGAUCUCCAGGCAAGCUUCGUUUGAUGGACCUGAUUUCCACAUCACAAGCACUUCAGUAGAUCAUACUCCACGCGAACACCCUAUUUAUGAUUCUAGUCCUUCUGCUAUCAGGGAAAACAUAUUUUCAGCCUCCUUUUCUUCAGAUCAGCAUGUGGAAUCUGAGACAGUGUUUCCUCCUACAUUGGUUGAGGAAAGCACUAUUUCAUUCGUAGAGAGGGAAUCUGAGGAAAAUAGUCAGGAUAUUGAAAAAAAUUCCCUUCCAACUAAUGAAGAGAUUUUGGCACCAGCAGAUGACCAAGAAUUUCUGUCAAGGGAGGUGGUAUGCCAAAAUGAGCUUGGUGUUGCAAAGGCGGAUAUUUCUG